rnacentral:rRNA from 1 species
ACCUGGCUUACACCGGUUUAAACUCAGAUCAUGUAAAAUUUUAAAGGUCGAACAGACCUACUUUGUUAGCUUCUGCACCAACAAUCUAUUUUAAUCCAACAUCGAGGUCGCAAUCUUUUUUUUUGAUAAGAACUCUAAAAAAAAUCACGCUGUUAUCCCUAAGGUAAUUUAAUCUUACAAUCUACAUUAUAGGAUCAUACAUACAUAAAUAAAUGAUAAUAUAGAAAAAAGUUUACUUAAUUUUUCCAUCACCCCAAUAAAAUAUUUUAUUCAUUAAAUAAUUAAUAAUCCUUUUUCUAUAUUUAAAUUUAAAACAUAAAACUCUAUAGGGUCUUCUCGUCUUCUAUACACAUUUAAGCUUUUUAACUUAAAAAUAAAAUUCUAAUUAAUUUUUACAGAGACAGAAAUUUUCUCAUCAAACCUUUCAUUCCAGCUUUUAAUUAAAAAACUAAUGAUUAUGCUACCUUUGCACGGUCAAUAUACCGCGGCCAUUAAAUUCAUCAUUGGGCAGGUCAAACUUAAAAUUAUAAUCAACAAGCC